UGUGUUAUUGAACUGCCAGAGCUGAAGGUACAUUUUACUUCCAAUGCAUAUCUCCCUGUUUAGGUGAACAGAACAUUGGUCAUACUUAAUUGUUAGAAUUAUUGUCAUGCUCUUAUUAGGAAUUUUCCAUUCAUGUAUUUUUUGUUUGGUUAGCUUUUGAUAAGUAAUCAUUGGGAGGUUUGGUUUCAUGUAGUUAAUGCAUGCAACUAUGAGAAUUAGUUGCAUGAAUAAAGGACAAAGGAACUUCACAUUGAUGUGAUUCUAUCGAGGAUUAUACCACUUGUUAUCCACCUAAAUAUACUAGGAUUAGACAGUUUCGUGCUCCAUGUGCUUUUAUCCUCGUGCAGUUGAAUAACACAAUGCCUAGUUCAUGCACACUACCAUUGGUACAAGCAGACUGAGAAUGCACCUUAUGACUUGAGGCUAGCUACAAGGAAGGAAAGAUGUGCAAGCCAUGAUCAGAAGUUCACCAGCGAAACACUUAAACUACGCUUUUCUGCAGUUUUUGAAAUAAUAAUUAAUUAACUGCCUAAGGUCAUGAAUUUUACAGCUUAAUGAAUCAUAAUUUUCAUCUAUGAGCAAAACUGAAUUCUAGUUAGAUAUGACUUAUAGUUGCUUAUCAUCAGAAUUUUGGUUUGUCCCAAUGAUGUUUCCCUUCUGCAUGUAUGUCCUAACCAUGGCAUGUAUUUCAGGGCCGGGACAAGUUGGGGGACAUGCCAGUUUUUGUCCUAGUGCAGGCAGACGAGUCAGUAUGAAACAAGUUGUGACUCUUGAGUUGUUCCAAUGAUGUUUCCCUUCUGGAACUAUACUGGAAGCAGCAAAGAUAUCCGUUACAAUCUUAGCUAGUUCCUAUCUGGAGCUGCUCAAUAAAAGUUUUAUCUUUAAAUUUGUCCUUCUGGAACUGUUUGGGAAUGCAGACUUGAUUGUUGUUCCCUGUAAUAUGUGGCUUAUUUCUGUCAAAAACAGUGCAAAUUAUUCAUGUCAAUGAAGGAUAGUCUGUACUGAAGUUUGUUUCUGUUGCUACUUGCUAGCAUUAUUUACUUUCAUGCUUUGUUGGUGCUUGUCAUGACUGAAAAUUGCCGACCCAUUUUUUGUUGAUGUAUUCAGAUCUCCUGCAUUUAUCUGAGAUUUUUGUGGUGUCUGUACUUGGUACACUCAUGGAUGUGUUUCUUCGAUGACCAUUGGCCAUGUUGGGUUAUGGUUAUGUUUUUGUAGUUUGAUGUGUGUCUACUCAAAUGUACGUACAUUGUACCAUCUUAGUGUCGGUCGAGUUAUGAGUUGCAUCUGGCCAUGUCAUGCGGUUGAUCUUACCUACUCCCUCUAGUACUUGUAUGGUUGGAAAAUCCCCAGACAGAAUUGCACUUCUGAAUAAAUAAAAAUUAGUUGCUCAGGUCGAUCAGGAUCUUGAAUCUUUGCCAACAAUAAUUCUGUUCUUGUUUGAAUUUUUUGGGUUAUCAUCAUGCUAUAAUUGAACUACCUACCUGUGAGAAGGUAAUUUCAAAGGAUACAGGAACUUCAGUAGUUUUGUAUCCAGUUGGAAUUUCAUUUCUUUCUGAGCAUGUAUCAUGGUCUAUUUUUGUUAACUACUCCCCCUGUUCCCAAAUAUAAGUCUUUGUAGAGGUUUCAAAUGAACUACAACAUACGGAUGUAUAGACAUAUUUUAGAGUGUAGAUUCACUCAUUUUGCUCCGUAUCUAGUCCCUUGUUGAAAUCUCUAAAAAGGCUUAUAUUUGGGAACGGAGUAGCAAUAUUGCUUAACUGAGCUAUGCUUUUGAAAGUUGGAACUCGAAACUAUAUGGCCAAAAUGUUUUGCUAGGGUGUUCUUUUUGCAGCCAUAGUCAACAAUUUGUGAAUUAAUUCUGAUGCUUCCUUGUCUGAUGUCCUAAUCGAAGAUGCCAGAGUAUUGUUUGACUUCGAAGUUAUUUAUGUAUUCAGGGAAUAGUUUCAGGAUUUCCUUUUGACGUUGAACUAUUAUGUAUAAUCUCUGACUUCUAUUUUGUUUCAUGUUCUUCGAAAGUUUCAUCUGUUUACUUUGACUUCUUUUGCCUGGCAUUAACUGAUGAAUGUUGAAAUUCUUUGUGGUUUCUGGGGAUAGGGGCAGUGUAACUACUAUCAAUCUUCAUAUAUGAAGAAAGAAAUAUAUUAUCUUGACAUUGGUGCCUGCAUACUUUUUAGGUUGUGGUUUGAUAAAAUGUUUUCUCAUUGAAUAUGUUUAAGCUGAAUGGAAACUGUAUCUGAUGUUUUGGUAUCGAUGCAUGACUUCGUUUGGAAGCUACAUAGUUCAGUCAUAGCACAAUAUCUGUGUUUGACUAGUUUAGACGGCAAUGUGAACAAUUUUUACUGGUUAGUGCCCUAAUUUCCCCCUUGCUAUUAACUUCGGAAAAUACAUUGAGGAACUUGGUUUCUUGGUAAACUAUCGUAUUGACUUUUGUGCGAUCAACACAAAUAAUGAAAUAGUAAACAAUAUUGCAUUACUUUUGUCAACUGAAAGUGACAUAAAUAUCACAACUCUUAUAUUCUUACUUCUGCUUUUAUUUAGUAAUAUAUUUGUUGAUUUAGAAUCCUGUGGAUUGUGAUCACUUAAUGCUGACAUGGUAAAUUGCUCCCACCUCCCCACAAUUCAUUACUCGGAUAUUUACUAUGAGCAGGUAAACAAACUAACUGACAUACUUUUUAAAAUAUUGGACUCCUAUUUAUACAAAUAAUGUUUGUUUAUAAAACAUAACCUCCCAUUUUAUAAUAAUGUCAAAAACUUAAAAUUACGAUAUGACUUUGAGGAAGUGAAAAAGGAACAUGUAGAGAUAUUCUUAGAUCUGUAAGUUUAGCUAUCUUUUCAAGCAGCUAUGUUCAUCUUAAAAAACUAUUAUUCUUCACAGAAACCAUAGCAGGGGAAGCCUAUUCCUCAACAUAGUUUAUUCGUGCCAGUUUGUGCACAUAAUUUAAAAGCUAGGAAACACUAACAAGAGAAUGUCUUUUAGGAUAUUCGAAAGGGAGUAAUCUCACAAGCAAUUUGGCUUUCCCAUGCUAUUAGUUGACCUUCUAGGAAGCAGAAAAUAAACGUAACCGCAUAUUUAGUAAUGAUCUCAUGUCAAGCUAUUCAUUCUACUCUGUUAAUGAUAUCUGCUUGCCUGUUUAGGUCUUCUGUAAUGCAUAUUUUGCCGCGUAACAUCAGAGGCAUCCUUGCUUCUUUGAUACAGCUAAAGGGUAGGGAUCAUGGGCCAUAAACUAACCUCGUAUUGUUUCCUUUGAAUCAUUCUCCUUGCCAGCAUCUUAGUUGUUCUUGUUUACCAAAGAGGGGCAUGCAAUCUUUUUUCAGAACAUGACAGAAGUACAGCUGAUUUGUGCAUUGUGGUGGAUCUGAGUCAUGUGCAGCUAUUGAUUACUAGAUAUAUACGCAGAUCACUUCCUACCCAUGAGGAUAGCAGGAUCAGAUCUCCAUGUCGGAUGUCGCGCAAACUUGACACCUUAAAGGGAGACCUACAUUGUGGCACCCAUUCUGGUGAUGCACAUGCUCAUUGAUUGUUAAAACGUGCCAUAAUCUGAAUUUAAGAUCUAACUGGGGUUUCAACACAGUUUUUUGGGAAUGUUGCUGUAAUGUUACCAUGUUGACCUUCGGAUACGUUAGAAUGAAGAAACCAAGUGAUGACAAUGAAUGAUACAGAUCUGUUCAUUUUUUCAGCACAUUUUGCUGGUCCAUUAUCACUGCAUUUCUCUGGUUUGAUGCUGUUGGCAGAAACUUAUUUCUAUGUUAGUUCAGGAUAGAAAGUUUAACUAGAUUGAUGUCGGUUAUCGUGUGUAAAAUGUCAAUGUGGUAAAUCUUUCAGGAUACCAACCUCCAACAUCUUGCAAGUGUUGAACAUCAAUGCUGCUGCUGCUGCUGCGGGCACAGGGUGUGAGAAUUAUUUGCAGAUCAAGACCGUGAUAUCCAUAGAGGCGUGCUUUCAUAUAUCCUCUUUUGAGUUCUUAAGAAUGUUCAGAUUCCUUCCACCAUGUUCGUGCAGGCAUGUCUUUGCAUAUCCUACUUUUGUUUAUUCCAUCUCUAACCAACACCAGUACACAUAUUUUUGAAAGAAAGAAAGCAUGAGCACAUAGUUGUCUUGAUCUUAUUCUAUUCUAUUCCAAGGUAAACUCUUGCUAUCCCGGUUCAGAGCUCAUAGACUUCCUUUGCCUGUCCUCGAUGAAUCAUGGACCAAUGAUUAGUAAAAUGUCUCUAAUCAUUGUGCGGUUUCUUCGGAGACAGGCCGCAUAACUGUAAUCUUGGACAAGUCACUGUCUUGCCCACCAACCAGCAGUUGAAAUUCUUCAAACUUGUCGUCUUCAGCUCUUCACAUCCUCACAACAUACCAAUGUCUGUUGCUGAUCGCAAACCUAUCACCACACACUUCAUGCCACCCAUUGACUGUCCUUUGUUUACUCAUGCUCACAUUUUCUUUAUUCUGCAGAUGUUGUUCCCUGCAACCUCUCAGAACUCUGAACAGUAUAAAAGCACCUGAACUGUUGUGCAUUUGUCUUCACCCCUCUCAACAGCAAGUGCCUCCAACCACACUCCCCAGGCCGCCUUUCGCCUCCAAGGCUCCCAAGUCCCAAAUUCACAUCUCAAUGGAGGCUGGAGGCCUGAUUUCGGAGGCUGGCUGGACCAUGUUUGACUUCCCGCCGCAGGGCGAGGAGUCCGAUAUCAUAGCGCAGCUGCUUGGCACCUUCCCCUCCCAUGGCGAGGAUGCCCAGCAGGAUCUGCCUUGGUACCAGGCUUCCCAUCCAUCCUUCUAUGACACUGAUCUUAAUACAAGUGCAUGUAGUGAUAGCAAUGAUGGUAGCUUUGCUGUUCCAUCCGAGUGUAUGGGCUACUAUUUGGGUGAUUCAAGUGAGACCCUGGGCAUCAGCUCCUGCACUGCACCACAGGACCUGAACUUGGUCCAGGAGCAAGGUGCUAUCGAGUAUCUGAAUAUGAUUCCAACCAUUUCCCAUGAUUUGUUCGGGAACGGCGAGUCAAGCUGCGAGGUUCUCAACUCGGUCAGUGCUACUAACAAGAGAAAGCACUCGGUGGAAGAAGAAAUCGAGGGCCAAGCAAGAGUAAGUCCUGAGGAUGACUGAUCAUUCUGUUCACCGGCUAUGUCUUUUAGAAAGAUACGUUCAUGCUGUUAGUGUGAAUACUGACUCUAAUUGAUUAAUUGCAGGGUCGGAAAUGCGCAAGGAAGGCUGCACCGAAGCGAGCAAAGAAUGCCAAGCAAACCGAAGCGAGCUGCUGCACCUCUGACAAUGACUCGAAUGCUUCUCAAGAGUCUGCGGAUGCUGGUGUUACUCCAAAAGGCAAGGCCCGGGCUGGACGCGGGGCGGCAACCGAUCCCCAGAGCCUCUAUGCAAGGGUACUGCCAAUAAUCAUCUCUUUCGCAUCUGAAGGAAUUAUCUUUUGCAACUGAAUGUGAAGUACUAAUUCUCUGUUCUUUGCUUGAGCAGAAAAGGAGGGAAAGGAUCAACGAGAGGCUGAAGACACUGCAGACCCUUGUGCCCAAUGGAACCAAAGUAUGCUUCUGAACAUUCAUGCUACUGGUAGCCUACAUGAAUAAAAAUGCUAAGAUCCAAUGGCUAAAUCAACAAUGUUUUUGUAUUGAUCUUGCAGGUAGAUAUGAGCACCAUGCUUGAAGAGGCAGUCCAGUAUGUCAAAUUCCUGCAACUUCAGAUCAAGGUGAGCAGUUGCUCAAUUUAGUUCGCUUCGACAUCAGACAAAUUGUUCCAUGGCGGACAUUGCAACUGACGAAUUUCUCUCGUCAAUUUUCAGGUCCUCAGCUCUGAUGAAAUGUGGAUGUACGCGCCGAUUGCGUACAACGGGAUGAACAUUGGACUUGAUCUGAACAUGUAGAGAUGAUUUUGGCAGUCUCAAGCGGGAACGCAGUUUGUGUUUGAGAUAAACGAAAAACGAGUUCUCCACUAACCAUUCAAUGUACCUGUGUUACCAUGUGUCGUUUUGGAAGCUGUUAUACAGAUCAUCAUAGGCGCAGCAGUAGCAUACUUAAACUUGUGAAGAGGCCCUCUUAGAGGAUCAGUAAACUGAAGAUAAUACUACCAUUUUCUUGACAUUAGCAUGAAAUGCAAGAUCUUGAAAACUUGUAGAUUUGUAUUUGUUUUCUUUGGAGCAAAUAUAGUUCUUUUGUUGGCAUGUGAUGAUUUGUUCAAUGAUCUAGUCUCUUGUGGUUUGCAAAGUUGCAGCCUUGAGGAUCUCAAACCCUGACACUUUAAGAUAAAUGACUGAAACUGCGAAAUCAUAUUGGAAUGAGCUUCAUAAUUUUUGGCGGACACAAUCGUUCGGUCUUGCGAUAUACUAUGAGCUAUCACCAUAAAAAAAAAA
rnacentral:lncRNA from 1 species